GACGAACGCUGGCGGCGUGCUUAACACAUGCAAGUCGAACGACGUGGCGCACGGGUGAGUAACGCGUAAUAAACCUGCCCUUCAGGGGGGGACAACAGUAGGAAACGACUGCUAAUACCGCAUACUGAAGGAGGGGGUUGCGGCUGAUUGGCUAGUUGGAGGGGUAACGGCCCACCAAGGCGAUGAUCAGUAGCGGGCCUGAGAGGGUGACCGGGAACAUUGGGACUGUGAUACGGCCUAGACUCCUACGGGAGGCAGCAGGGGGGGAUAUUGCACAAUGGGCGAUAGCCUGAUGCCGCGUCGCCGCGGGGGGGAUGAAGGCUUUCGGGUUGUAAACCUCUUUCGCUAUCGAAUGGGUAGGUGGAGAAGAAGCGCCGGCUAACUACGUGCCAGCAGCCGCGGUAAUAC
rnacentral:rRNA from 1 species